rnacentral:rRNA from 1 species
UGGGGAAUAUUGCGCAAUGGGGGGAACCCUGACGCAGCCAUGCCGCGUGAAUGAAGAAGGCCUUCGGGUUGUAAAGUUCUUUCGGUAAUGAGGAAGGGAUGUUGUUAAAUAGAUAGCAUCAUUGACGUUAAUUACAGAAGAAGCACCGGCUAACUCCGUGCCAGCAGCCGCGGUAAUACGGAGGGUGCGAGCGUUAAUCGGAAUAACUGGGCGUAAAGGGCACGCAGGCGGACUUUUAAGUGAGAUGUGAAAUCCCCGAGCUUAACUUGGGAACUGCAUUUCAGACUGGGAGUCUAGAGUACUUUAGGGAGGGGUAGAAUUCCACGUGUAGCGGUGAAAUGCGUAGAGAUGUGGAGGAAUACCGAAGGCGAAGGCAGCCCCUUGGGAAUGUACUGACGCUCAUGUGCGAAAGCGUGGGGAGCAAACAGGAUUAGAUACCCUGGUGGUCCACGCUGUAAACGCUGUCGAUUUGGGGAUUGGGCUAUAUGCUUGGUGCCCGAAGCUAACGUGAUAAAUCGAUCGCCUGGGGAGUACGGCCGCAAGGUUA